AGAGCGAACGCUGGCGGCAGGCCUAACACAUGCAAGUCGAGCGCCCCGCAAGGGGAGCGGCAGACGGGAGAGUAACACGUGGGAACGUACCCUUUGGUUCGGAACAACACAGGGAAACUUGUGCUAAUACCGGAUAAGCCCUUACGGGGAAAGAUUUAUCGCCAAAGGAUCGGCCCGCGUCUGAUUAGCUAGUUGGUGGGGUAACGGCUCACCAAGGCUACGAUCAGUAGCUGGUCUGAGAGGAUGAUCAGCCUCGCUGGGACUGAGACACGGCCCAGACUCCUACGGGAGGCAGCAGUGGGGAAUAUUGGACAAUGGGCGCAAGCCUGAUCCAGCCAUGCCGCGUGGGUGAUGAAGGCCCUAGGGUUGUAAAGCCCUUUCGGCGGGAAGAUAAUGACGGUACCCGCAGAAGAAGCCCCGGCUAACUUCGUGCCAGCAGCCGC
rnacentral:rRNA from 1 species